GUGUGUGUCAUGUCUCGUGUUGUAAACUUUCAAGUGAAUGAAACACUAAAUAAACUUCACACAUGCAUAUAACAAACCCAGUGCAUGCUACCCCAGCGUGUGGGACACCGCUGCUCACUGUGGUUGAUGCUGGACAGUUUUUACCAUGAGCUUUACACUGGUAAUCGACCGCGGUUUUAAUGGUAAUUUAGAUUUCCCAUGGUAAUACUAACCACUGGAAAUCUCUCCAUGGUUAACAGGGAAACUGGUAGCCGUUCCAUCCUUACGAGUGACCAAUACAAACAGUGGAAGUUAAAAACAGCUGACUGUCUAAAACACUUUAUAUGUAUAACAUUUGAAAUGAGUGAACUUACUGGCUGUGACAGUCAAAAAACAUGUCCUCUCAGCAACUGCUGUUUACUGAAGUCAAAAGAGCUGUUCUCAUUCUACUCUGACUCUAUAUGUUACCUCCCUUUUCUCUGCUUCUCAUGCUCUGCCCUUUCGUUAGACUGUGGUGUAUUUCAGCAGCUAAAGAGCCCCACUUUAAACACUGUAAUAAUACCAUGUUCCCUGUCUAACCAAACGCUUGUAGCUUCACACUUAAUAUGAGUUCAUUUUUGCUCAUUUCAGCAUCAAGAGCGCUCAGCUGCUCGUGAUUGUCGGGAUAAACCCUGUGACCUGGACAAUGGUUUGCAUGGUUCCUGGAAGAAUCCGUCUGACAUAUGACUGUGAAGUACAAAUAAGUGGACGACUGAGACUGGACUUUGUGUUGUGACCCAUGUGAGGACUCAGAAGAUCAUCACUUUGCCUGUUCAAGUCCACCAAAACUCUUCCUCCACUUCCACUCAGGUUAAUCAGGAGUAAUUUAAACUCCAAAAUUCCUGACAGGACAUUUUCUGAUGGUAUUGCCUGCACCGCUGAAUUUCCUAAGCAAUCAGGACCAACGUUCUCGGGCAGCUGCUAAUCAAAUAUGCCCAGCUGAAGAGGAAAUGUGCCAAACUGUGCACAGAGGAAUUUGUGCAGACACAAGAGGACAGAGAACAUUAAGAUGGAGAUAAGGAAGAUAAAAGCCGUUGGACAUUUAAAUUUAGCGUCCGAGGACAUUUACGUUUUGCUGGAGUGUGCUAGUUCUUGAUUACAAUGUUGACAUUUUACUCGGAAUUAACCUGAUUAAAAUUGAGCGUAAAAGCCCACAGCUCAGCAUUUCUCAUGAUCACAGGAGAUGGAUUAAGAAAGAAGGCUUUCAAAUUGAAUAUACCUCUCCCUGCUCAGCCUGCUAAUUGUACCAUUUACCACUGCUUGAGUCACUGACCGACGCUAUUUAGUCAAACUAAUGAUGAUGCACAGUCCACGCCAUCCCACGAUAAUUAAAAAAAGCGCUGUCUCUUUUUCUGUAUUAGCUAUUGUUUUUGUUUUUUUUCAAUAAAUGGAUGCAUGCCAUAGCAAGAACCUUUUGAGCUUUGGUUACUUUUUAUCUUUGCACCC